UACAGAGGGUGCAAGCGUUAAUCGGAGUUACUGGGCGUAAAGGGCGCGUAGGCGGUGAUGUGAGUGUGAUGUGAAAGCCCCGGGCUUAACCUGGGAAGUGCAUCGCAAACGACAUGACCGGAGUAGAUGAGAGGGUGGCGGAAUUUCCGGUGUAGCGGUGAAAUGCGUAGAGAUCGGAAGGAACGUCAAUGGCGAAGGCAGCCACCUGGCACCAUACUGACACUGAGGCGCGAAAGCGUGGGGAUCAAACAGG
rnacentral:rRNA from 1 species